UACGUAGGGGGCAAGCGCUGUCCGGAUUUACUGGGCGUAAAGAGCGUGUAGGCGGCCACGCAGGUCCGUUGUGAAAACUGGAGGCUCAACCUUCAGACGUCGACGGAAACCGUGUGGCUAGAGUCCGGAAGAGGAGAGUGGAAUUCCUGGUGUAGCGGUGAAAUGCGCAGAUAUCAGGAAGAACACCAAUGGCGAAGGCAGCUCUCUGGGACGGUACUGACGCUGAGACGCGAAAGCGUGGGGAGCGAACAGG
rnacentral:rRNA from 1 species